GCGCAGCCGAGGGAACCCAAGUGGUGGUGUUUAAAUUUGUCAUUCCUCUAUAUAGCUUGUAUACAUCAGAACGAAAUAUGUCGUUUCUCCAGGACCAUGGUGCAAGACCAGGCUUGUAAAUGCUUUGUUACAACCCGCUAGCUUUGGGAUGGGAAGUUUUUUUGUGUGCUGUGCCAGUUUCCAGCCUGCCCUAGCCUACCUUGCUCCCGCCUCCCAGGAUGACAUCACUGAGGAGCGGCCAUAUCUGAAGAGGAAGAAAAUAUAUUCUAAAUUCACAAUUCUAUAUCCUAUAUUCACAACUCUAUAUUCUGACUGCUGUUCUGGGGUUUGGACUGUGAUGUUGGUUGUUCCUGUAUCUGGUUGUGUAUACUCUUCACCAGUGUAUACACGUUCGCUUGGUUCACUGGUGGUAGGGGUGUGGCUGCCAUUUCUUUUGGGAGAGGGUCCUUUUGGCUCUGUUUUUGGCUUAGAGAGUUAGGGAAGUAUUUGUCUUUUCUUUGUUAUUUGCUUUUUAGGUAAGCUAGCUACCUAAUAAUAGAAUCCUUUUGUUUAUUAUUUUGGCUUUGGCCCACCCUGAAGUUAUGCCUUGUUCGGUUCUUUGUAGAGUUGUAUGUAUGUAAUUCUGUGUUUUACAAUAUAUCACAAUUUUUAUUUUAACAA